rfam:Lupinus angustifolius cultivar Tanjil chromosome LG04, whole genome shotgun sequence.
AACCCAUGAUUGGGGCAUUUCCUCAGCAGCAACUGGAAACGCUCCCAAGACUCAUAAAAAGCUUCCUCGACACUUUGUCUGAAUGUAGAGAUUUCAAACUUGGCCU